rnacentral:tRNA from 1 species
GCAUCUAUGGUUGAAUGGUUAAAGCGUUCAACUUAUAAUUAGUGAAUUCAUAGGUUCAAUUCCUACUGAAUGCA